UCCAGGUGAAGCUGAAAAAGGUGUCGAGGGUCCCAGCCCAAUGUUCGUUCAUAUUGCUGGCUUCCAUGUUUAGUAUGUUGAGUUCUAUGAAUCACUAAAGCAAAAGGGGAAAUUGACAAUAAUGUAAUGGUCCUAUGGGCUUACUUGUUUAACCUUGAUGAAGCUGAAGCUUGGGCAGGUAAUAAUAGUAUCACGAAGAACUAUGCAUUCUCAUAUCUAGUAAAGAAAUUGGUUGCUGGAAUCCAACUACUGUCAGUAAGGAACGAGAUCGCAACAGCUGAUUUUUUACAUCGAAAAGGAUUGCAACAAGGGAUGACUAUUGUCGGUAGUCUAGGUUUUUUGUCUUCAAAGGAGAUGUUGCAUAGCUUCUCUUUGAGUUACCUGUUCAUUUUUAGCUUCUAACAUGUGGUCAUGGCCACUCAAUGAUUGUAAAUAUCAGCUUUAGUUACCCUCAUAAAGCACAAUAUGUUAAUAUCUGUUUUGUACUUUAGAACAGGAUUUCAUGCCUUUUGUCUUCAGUUCACUAUCCUGAUGUGUCGUUGUUAUUCAAACUUUUUCUGAAACUUUUUGUUUCUGAUCUGCAGAAGGACUAGGCAACAAGAAUGUUGAGAUUGAAGCACUUGAAAACCUGUCCAAAAGAAAAAAUUGAUCAGGACGGCGAUGUUGUUGCGGCGCGUGCGCAUGCCAUGGCUACGGCACCGGCAACGCUGGGCACCGUCUAGAUCGCUCCAUUCGGAUGAUGCGGUUAUGGAGGCCAAUCAGAUGAUGCGGUUAUAGAGGUCGAGGUGUGGUCCAGCGAUGAUAUAGGUGGUGUCAGGGGAGGCAGUGCAUGCUGUGGUCUCGUGGAGGAUGGCGGCCUGCGGUUUAGGGGCUCGAUGCAGCGGUAGUGCUUGGCGAUGGCUUCCUUUCCGAGGAGAAGGGGUCCAGAGGUGGAGGAGGAGGCACACGAGCUCGGCAUGAUCCACGCUUGCUUUUCUUAUGUUGCAUAAAGUAAUUUUUAUCUUGCAUCAAGUACUUUUUGAUGUUGGAAAAAAAA